UACGAGUGCCCCAAGCGUUAUCCGGAAUUAUUGGGCGUAAAGGGUGUGUAGGUGGCGAUGUUAGUCUUCUGUCAAAUUCUUCGGCUUAACCGGGGGUCUGCAGGGGAAACGGCAUUGCUCGAGGAUGCGAGGGGUCUGUGGAACUCAUGGAGUAGGGGUGAAAUCCGUUGAUAUCAUGGGGAACACCAAAAGCGAAGGCAACAGACUGGCGCAUUCCUGACACUGAAACACGAAAGCGUGGGUAGCGAACGGG
rnacentral:rRNA from 1 species